rnacentral:rRNA from 1 species
AACGAACGCUGGCGGCAUGCCUAACACAUGCAAGUCGAACGAGACCUUCGGGUCUAGUGGCGCACGGGUGCGUAACGCGUGGGAACCUGCCCUUAGGUUCGGAAUAACUCCCCGAAAGGGGUGCUAAUACCGGAUAAGGUCUUCGGACCAAAGAUUUAUCGCCUUCGGAUGGGCCCGCGUUGGAUUAGCUAGUUGGUAGGGUAAAAGCCUACCAAGGCGACGAUCCAUAGCUGGUCUGAGAGGAUGAUCAGCCACACUGGGACUGAGACACGGCCCAGACUACUACGGGAGGCAGCAGUGGGGAAUAUUGGACAAUGGGCGAAAGCCUGAUCCAGCAAUGCCGCGUGAGUGAUGAAGGCCUUAGGGUUGUAAAGCUCUUUUACCCGGGAUGAUAAUGACAGUACCGGGAGAAUAAGCUCCGGCUAACUCCGUG